UACGUAGGGACCAAGCGUUGUUCGGAUUUACUGGGCGUAAAGGGCGCGUAGGCGGCUUGACAAGUCACUUGUGAAAUCUCCGGGCUUAACUCGGAACGGCCAAGUGAAACUGUCAAGCUAGAGUGCGGAAGGGGCAAUCGGAAUUCUUGGUGUAGCGGUGAAAUGCGUAGAUAUCAAGAGGAACACCUGAGGUGAAGACGGGUUGCUGGGCCGACACUGACGCUGAUGCGCGAAAGCCAGGGGAGCAAACGGG
rnacentral:rRNA from 1 species